rnacentral:rRNA from 1 species
GAUAAACGCUGGCGGCGUGCCUAAUACAUGCAAGUCGAGCGAACGGACGAGAAGCUUGCUUCUCUGAUGUUAGCGGCGGACGGGUGAGUAACACGUGGAUAACCUACCUAUAAGACUGGGAUAACUUCGGGAAACCGGAGCUAAUACCGGAUAAUAUUUUGAACCGCAUGGCUCAAAAGUGAAAGACGGUCUUGCUGUCACUUAUAGAUGGAUCCGCGCUGCAUUAGCUAGUUGGUAAGGUAACGGCUUACCAAGGCAACGAUGCAUAGCCGACCUGAGAGGGUGAUCGGCCACACUGGAACUGAGACACGGUCCAGACUCCUACGGGAGGCAGCAGUAGGGAAUCUUCCGCAAUGGGCGAAAGCCUGACGGAGCAACGCCGCGUGAGUGAUGAAGGUCUUCGGAUCGUAAAACUCUGUUAUUAGGGAAGAACAUAUGUGUAAGUAACUGUGCACAUCUUGACGGUACCUAAUCAGAAAGCCACGGCUAACUACGUGCCAGCAGCCGCGGUAAUACGUAGGUGGCAAGCGUUAUCCGGAAUUAUUGGGCGUAAAGCGCGCGUAGGCGGUUUUUUAAGUCUGAUGUGAAAGCCCACGGCUCAACCGUGGAGGGUCAUUGGAAACUGGAAAACUUGAGUGCAGAAGAGGAAAGUGGAAUUCCAUGUGUAGCGGUGAAAUGCGCAGAGAUAUGGAGGAACACCAGUGGCGAAGGCGACUUUCUGGUCUGUAACUGACGCUGAUGUGCGAAAGCGUGGGGAUCAAACAGGAUUAGAUACCCUGGUAGUCCACGCCGUAAACGAUGAGUGCUAAGUGUUAGGGGGUUUCCGCCCCUUAGUGCUGCAGCUAACGCAUUAAGCACUCCGCCUGGGGAGUACGACCGCAAGGUUGAAACUCAAAGGAAUUGACGGGGACCCGCACAAGCGGUGGAGCAUGUGGUUUAAUUCGAAGCAACGCGAAGAACCUUACCAAAUCUUGACAUCCUUUGACAACUCUAGAGAUAGAGCCUUCCCCUUCGGGGGACAAAGUGACAGGUGGUGCAUGGUUGUCGUCAGCUCGUGUCGUGAGAUGUUGGGUUAAGUCCCGCAACGAGCGCAACCCUUAAGCUUAGUUGCCAUCAUUAAGUUGGGCACUCUAAGUUGACUGCCGGUGACAAACCGGAGGAAGGUGGGGAUGACGUCAAAUCAUCAUGCCCCUUAUGAUUUGGGCUACACACGUGCUACAAUGGACAAUACAAAGGGCAGCGAAACCGCGAGGUCAAGCAAAUCCCAUAAAGUUGUUCUCAGUUCGGAUUGUAGUCUGCAACUCGACUACAUGAAGCUGGAAUCGCUAGUAAUCGUAGAUCAGCGUGCUACGGUGAAUACGUUCCCGGGUCU